GAUGAACGCUGGCGGCUUUCCUCAUACAUUCACGUCGAGCGCACAGACGAGGAGCUUGCUCCUCUGACGUUAGCGGCGGACGGGUGAGUAACACGUGGAUAACCUACCUAUAAGACUGGGAUAACUUCGGGAAACCGGAGCUAAUACCGGAUAAUAUAUUGAACCGCAUGGUUCAAUAGUGAAAGACGGUUUUGCUGUCACUUAUAGAUGGAUCCGCGCCGCAUUAGCUAGUUGGUAAGGUAACGGCUUACCAAGGCAACGAUGCGUAGCCGACCUGAGAGGGGGAUAGGCCACAAGGGAACUGAGAAACGGUCCAGACUCAUACGGGAGGCAGCAGUAGGGAAUCUUCCGCAAUGGGCGAAAGCUUGACGGAGCAACGCCGCGUGAGUGAUGAAGGUCUUCGGAUCGUAAAAAUAGGUGAUUAGGGAAGAACAAAUGUGUAAGUAACUAUGCACGUCUUGACGGUACCUAAUCAGAAAGCCAAGGCUAACUACGGG
rnacentral:rRNA from 1 species